UGUGUGUGUGUGUGUGUGUGUAUGCACACACACUGUACACACACACACACACACACACACACA
rnacentral:miRNA from 1 species